rnacentral:rRNA from 1 species
UACGGGGGGGGCAAGCGUUGUUCGGAAUUACUGGGCGUAAAGGGCUCGUAGGCGGCCAACUAAGUCGGACGUGAAAUCCCUCGGCUUAACCGGGGAACUGCGUCCGAUACUGGAUGGCUUGAGUUCGGGAGAGGGAUGCGGAAUUCCAGGUGUAGCGGUGAAAUGCGUAGAUAUCUGGAGGAACACCAAUGGCGAAGGCAGCUCGCUGGGACGGUACUGACGCUGAGGAGCGAAAGCCAGGGGAGCAAACGGG